rnacentral:rRNA from 1 species
GACAGAGGGUGCAAACGUUGCUCGGAAUUACUGGGCGUAAAGCGCGUGUAGGUGGAUUGGUGUGUCAGAUGUGAAAGCCCUGGGCUCAACCCAGGAACUGCACCUGAAACUACCAGUCUUGAGUGGUGGAGAGGGAAGUGGAAUUCCUGGUGUAGAGGUGAAAUUCGUAGAUAUCAGGAGGAACACCAGUGGCGAAGGCGGCUUCCUGGACACUAACUGACGCUGAGACGCGAAAAGCGUGGGGAGCAAACAGG